rnacentral:rRNA from 1 species
UACGGAAGGUCCGGGCGUUAUCCGGAUUUAUUGGGUUUAAAGGGAGCGCAGGCUGAAGAUUAAGCGUGACGUGAAAUGCCCCAGCUCAACCGGGGAAUUGCGUCGCGAACUGGUUUUCUUGAGUGAGAACGACGUAGGCGGAAUUCGUGGUGUAGCGGUGAAAUGCUUAGAUAUCACGAAGAACCCCGAUUGCGAAGGCAGCCUACGAGGCCUCAACUGACGCUAAUGCUCGAAGGUGCGGGUAUCGAAC